UAAAAACCAAUGAGGAGAUGGGAGAGGCGGGACUUGCAGCACAUCAAGCCUAAAAAUAAAAUGUUAUAUUUUAUUGCCUGGUUACGCAAACGCUCGUUUGGAUAAAGUGAUUGAAUAACGUGUAAAUUUAUUUUGCAACGCUCGCGCACGUAACRCAAGCGGUGUGGUCAGCAUGUUACAGAAUUAUUGAUGUACUACUGCAGAUCCUGCCUUACAGAAUGCUUACCAGUGUGUCUGAUGUAGGAGCUGCUGAAAUGUUUCUCUCCUAACAGAAUGCCACACAGAAAAUGAAAUUAAGGCUCGUGAUCCAAUCAGAUGCAGAGAGUGUGGAUACAGAAUCAUGUACAAGAAGAGAACAAAGAGAUUGGUUGUGUGUUGACGCUCGAUGAAGUUGACGACAACAUUGACUAGGCACAUUUUUAUUAUGUUUGUUUUUAGGGUGUCACAGUGUAAAUAAAUUUGAUUACAAAUCA